UACGUAGGCAGCAAGCGUUGUUCGGAGUUACUGGGCGUAAAGAGUAUGUAGGCGGUUGGGUAAGUUUGGUGUGAAAUCUCCCGGCUUAACUGGGAGGGUGCGCUAAAGACUGCCUGGCUCGAGUGUGGGAGAGGAAAGCGGAAUUCCUAGUGUAGAGGUGGAAUUCGUAGAUAUUAGGAAGAACACCAGUGGCGAAGGCGGCUCACUGGUCCGGUACUGACGCUGAGGUGCGAAAGCGUGGGGAGCAAACAGG
rnacentral:rRNA from 1 species